AGGGAAAGAAGAAUAUGAGACAUGAGAAUAGCUAGAAGAAAAAAAAGGAAAAAGAGUAACAAAUAGAGAGAUGUGGGGGCUAUUUAUAAAGAAAAAGUGUGCCUCAUCAUAAAGUAAAUCAAAAUUUCUAUUAAUAUGGAAGAUAAUACUGAAUCCAAAUAGAUUUAGUGGAUCAUUCAAGCAAUGUGUCAUUCAUUUCAGUAUUGAAAAGCAUUCAAUGUGGGG
rnacentral:lncRNA from 1 species